rnacentral:tRNA from 1 species
GUCGUGGUGGCUGAGUGGUAAAGCGCUUGGCUUCUGUACCAAGGAGUCCUGGGUUCAAAUCCUGGUGAAGAUC